rnacentral:misc_RNA from 1 species
AGAUUCUCGUCUCACAAAAGAAUUAUUCAAUGGAAAACAAUGGAGCCUGUUUUUCUUCAGCCCCACAUAACCAUGACUCUCUCCAGCAAUCCCAGUGGCUUCAGUUUACUCUAUUAGGUCAUUCUUCCCUCCCUCUCUCUGUGUGUGUCUCAUUAUUUGCUCGUGUUCUCUGUUAUUUCCCAGCUGCCACCAUUAAACCAGGCUAA